AUUCAUUCCCCUUCUCUCCCACUGCGAGCGGUGCCGCACAACCCCUCCGCGAGCGACGGCGGUGGCGCCCUUCCCCACCGCGAGUAGCGGUGGUGCCCUCCCCCACUGCGAGCGACAGCGGCCACGGUGCCCUCCCUCAGCAUGAGCAGUGGCGAUGGCGGCGACGGCAUCCUCCCGCAGCUUCCAUGGGUGGAUCAGGCGGCGUCGGUGGCUUCCCGCGGGCGGAUCCGAUGGGCACAGUGGUGUCGGCGGCUUCCGCGGGCAGAUCAGGCGACAAUGAAGAUUAAGAUAAGAUUUGUGCAUUUAUUAUUAUUAUUCUUGUUUUUCUUUUUUUUUUUAUUGUCCAAUUGGAUUUUGUAUCUACGUUUGAAUUUGUGUUUUAUCCAUCAUACGUGAUGUGUUACUCGCGCGUGUGGGAACGGAGGCCAUCGUUCGAUUGGACUCAUCAGACAAAAAAAUGAUGUGAAGAACGGGAAAUUAAUUUUUGAAGUAGUUAUAAGAUAUGUUGGUUUAAUUCCAGUGUUGAUAGGUUAGUCACGGUUUAUUAGUAGAGUCAUUAGCGGCUAGAGUACCAAAAGUAAUUAGUGUUUUCUUGAUUAGUCUUUUCCUUGUAUGUUUCGAGUCCGAACCAAGUCACAGUCCGGUUUAUUUUAUAUGUGUCGUCAGUAGAGAGGCACAGACGAAAAUUGAGUACAGAAUCAUCUUCAAAUAAUAGUAGAGAUUAAAACCGAUUCAAAUACGGAUGACGUAGCAAAAUUCUGGCGAGAACAAGUUGAUACUGCUAAAGUUGGCAGAUCUGUUCAAGAGAAAUUUCAAGGUAUUUGCAAAUUACAAGAAAGGUGGUGUUAGAGAUCUGGCUGAUGAGAUUGCUGCUGCAGGACCAAAUUUCUUAUUUUAAUUGAAUAAUAGUAGUAGCAUGUCUUAAUGUAUACUAAAUAAAAGGGAUUUUUUAUGUUACUCGAGGAUGUAUCUCAAGCUACCACUCAUUUUAGUGUAAAUUUUUGAUACCUCAUGAUACUUCUCCAGUGUAAAGUACCAAAACGUAUCGUAAAUUAACACUAAAAUAUGGCAUCUCUCGGUACCUAGUCUUGUACGGUAAAACUAAAUAAAAUGCCCAUUUUGAGGAUGGUGACAUAUAUAUAUUAUAAAAGGUUUCAGAGUAAUGUAUAUGAGAAGUUGUGUUUAUGACUUAUUAGCUCACGAUAAUACCUGUGAACAUUUUGUGUCUAGCCAAUACAAAGCAUUAUAUUCUCUUUUUUAAAACUAUAUAUCCCUAGAUUUUUGUACCAUCAACAAACUUUGGAGAAAGGAGCGUACAAAAAGGUAGAGCUAAAAACAGUACGAUGGACAGUUAGCAUUUGAAAUGUUGAACGCCUUUGUUAAUCUAGACACACUAAAACGAUAAUAAUAUUUACACCACCAAAAAUCAAUGAUUAAAAAAUAUUUUCCUAAUAUAUUUAUCUUGGGUUGAAUUACUACCUUUUUCUAUAAACUUGGUCGAAUUUGAAACAGUUUGCCUUUUAUCAAAGUCAAAACGACUUAUGGUCUAAAACGAAAACGGAGGGAGUAAUAGUUAGGGUCUUUAAAAAACAAUUCUUUCAGCGGCAAGACACAAACUAAUGGUUACGAGGUAACUCUAAAGAUAAUACAAAGAUAGACAUGCAUCGCAGGUAAAAAGGGUUAUUGAAACUAAGAGUAAGACACUUAUGACAACAUUGAUAUAAUCAAUUAGUACGAGAGAUGGUAUUACAUGUGACAAAAAAAUUCACCAAGGGCCAUUACAUGGUGGAAAGGAGCACCACGUAAUAAAGGUACUUACUAUGGGUACAACACACAAUAAACCAUAAAAGUGGUGGUGCAGUUAAUUAAAAUGUUGGCAGAGCACACCGGUCAGCUUGUCAUUCAUUUUAUGAUCUCUUUUUUUUCCCUCUUGCAAGGUAUAAAAGUAGAAAUAUUCCCUCAUGAAAUUCAGUUUAGUUUUAUUUCCUCAUGAGAAUUCAGUUUAGUUUUAUUUCUCUAGUGUGAGGGUUAUUUCUGAAAAUUUGAAUGUUGCGCCUAGCUUUUCCUUUCUUCGGUUGGUAAUAUACCAUCAUUUUCAUGCCAUGUCACUGGCAAUCACAUCAAGCAAUUUUUAUCGGAACACAAAAGAACUACUCCCUCCGUUCUAAAAGAUAAGUAUUUUUUGGACUCUGACACGGUCUCCGAGAUAUUAUUUUGACCAAUAAUAUCUAUAAAAGUAAGAUGUUUCAAAUAAAAAAAAUUUACAUAUUAUGAUAGUUUCUUUAAUGAUAAAUCUAGUAACAUCAAUUUUACAUUAUUGAUCUUUUUUAUUUUUUUGCUAUUAAUAGUCAAAAUUAAAAAUGUUUAAUUUGCAACUAUGCUAAAAAUGCUAACAUUUUGGGACGGAGGGAGUACUAAUUAUAGGGUACAUGUAUUUCAUAUUAUUCCAUACUAUUAUAUUAUUUUAGCAAUAAUUCUUUUCUUGACUUCAGCUAUAUCUGUUCAUUCAAUGAAAAAAGCGUGUAGCAUGAGAUCCUGCAAAUGUUUUCAGAUGAUUUCACUUUAUUAUGUUAAAAACUGAAUUGUAGUACUGUUCGUUUCUGCAGGCUUGAAUAUCAUCUGUUACCACACUAUUCAUUCCUCUGCAGUUUGUACCAUAUGCAAGUGUUUGUUCAUAUCUUUAUGGCUACUUUGCCCUGCAGCUUCCUCGAUAGGUUUUCUGGAUCCUACAAUAAUACUUCACUAUUGAAGAUGUUACUAUAUAUACCGGAUGCAUGGUGGUUGAGUUUGGUUUUUAAGGCACUAACACGGAAGUUCACGGAUCCAGAAGCUUUCUACUUACUCAGAAACAUUACAGGAUUAUAUCACCAAACUGCAGCCACAACAUUCAAUAUUCAUGAAGGUGUGAUAGCCCUAGCCUACCUUAUCAAGGGAGUUCAAGUAGUCAACAGCUCUCUCCCUGUUGAUCAGAAAGGGAUGCUUACUUGCCCCACCACAGAUCAUCUGUUGUUUCAUCCUUGACAACACGCUUGUCCCUAGGUGAUCGACCGGUCUUUGCUCCUGAUAGCGUCGCUAACGCCCCACUGGAUGUGAUGAAUGACCCUUUCUCAUAUUUGAUUGCAUGCUCAUAAAGUUCUACACAGCAAAAAAAAAAAAAAAAAAAAAAAAAAAAAAAAACACAGAGAGAGAGAGGUUAUGUAAAGAGAACUCAGCAUAGUAAGAUGUGGAUUUUCUAAACCUGUGUGCAUGCUAAUUAGAUGAGACGUAAGUUGUAAUGCAUCUAUCAUUCUAUCAAAUUUUCAUUGCUGAAAAA